UGGGAAUCUCCAUGUCAGCUGACUUCCCUCUGAGAAUGAGAGAGCAACCAAAAUGGAAGCUGUCAUGCCCCUUGAAGCCUGAUGGACCAUCAUUGCUGCUCUACUAUUCAUCAUAGAGAUCAAUUCUGGAACAGUGUGACGAGAACUACAUAAGGUGUGAUUACUGGAAAGCAGGAAUCACUGUGGCCAUUGUGGAGGAUGGUUACCACAAUAAUUUAGAAUGGAAAAAAUAAUCCAUGUAAGGGGCUGGGUUACCUAAUUUGCCCAUCCAUCCAUCCAUCCAUCCCCCCAUUCACUCAUUCACUCUAUGCGUAUAGAAACCCAUAAGCUCCAGUUGUUGGUGUUGAAACCCACAAUUCUAGUUUACACCGAUAUUUGACAUUCAGGAGCAAAGAAUACCCUGUCAGCCCUGGGAGCCAGGAAGUAAGGCCAUUGCCAGUCCAGGUCCCCAUCAGCCUCCACUGCCCAGAAGGUUGUUGGUGCAUAAGACAGGAAGCUUCCAAGAGAAGGCUGAGGCCUGGUUGUCAGAAUUGAAAUAAGAGUCACAGAGGAACCAGUUCUGAAGGAUGAUGCUGUCCUUUACACAAAACCCAACCACACCUAAAUCUCCUCUGAAAGAGGACCAGAUUGGUGCUGGAUGUUGUGUCUCAGACGUAGGUAGGGGAAAUUUAGGGACAGGAACUAGGGUUGGUAGCUGGAAGGAAAGUUGCAAAAUGUCAAAAAGUUUGUCUUUGGUGUCAACUCAUUGCUUAGAUCCUGUCCUGCUGCUUUGGUGUCUUCAACUAACUGACUCCAAGUUCCUUGGAGCAUCCCUCCUGACCUUCCUACUUUCUACUGUUGAUGCACUCAGGCUCAGCCCAUUGCUUAGGGUUUGUCCUGCUGCAAACUCUAUGGCCAUGGUCCAGUCUCAAGAAUUUACUGGAGCUGAUUCUUUGGGACAGAAAAACAAGGAAAUAAAGACUCAUGGAAAAGUCAAGUUUGGGUGUACUGUGGUCAUUGAAUUCACCCUGUAAGGACUCAGUCUUUGGUAAUGUAACCAAUUUGUCAACACCAGUGUGCAAAAUCAAAGUUCUAUAACUGUUAGAUCAGCCUAACUUUGUAGGAAACAGUGGCUGCUUUGGCGGUGGACAAGGGGGCACUACCUCUCUGACUCUCAUCAGUACGCCCAAGGAACCUCCCCACUGAGCACCAAGGAUUGGAUGCAACCAGGAAGAGGCAGCUCUUCCUUUCCUAGUGAUAUCCAUUGACAUCUGCUACUGCUCCCACCGACAGGACAAUCUGAUGAGGGUUGUGUAUGUGCCAGGUGCCCCACUCUACCUCAUGACAUCAAGAGUGUCCACAAUGACCUAAAGUCACAGAACCAGUAACAAGCAUUUUUCAGAGACUAUAUCACUUCUCCAAAGUCACAUGGCCACAGGUGAUGGAAGCCCAGUGUACUUGACUUCCAAACCCCUGGUUUUACAACUGGAUUCAAAUACCUGUAGUGUGGAGUUCCUUAUUCAAAUCUCUGAAGGGUCAUAAACUUGUGUAAGGACCAGUUCCCCAGCCUCUCUGGCUCUGCUUCUUUUUCCUCCUAAGUUUCUGCUCUAUAUGUCACUGUAAAGGACUUUCCUUCCAAAAGGAGGUUGGUGGAGAGCAAAAUCUGAGAUAUUAAGAAAUUGAAAUCAGGGGAACUGGGAAAUAGCCCAAAAUGAAAUUCAAGAAUUUAAGGCUUCAGACCAGGUAGGAAGCAUG
rnacentral:lncRNA from 1 species